rnacentral:lncRNA from 1 species
AGUCUUAAACAACAGCCUAAAUUUUCCAAUUGCCUCAACUUGAACCCUUUUGCCGUCACCCACAUAGAUGCAUCUUUCACCAUCAUUUGGUUUUCGGCAGUUCAGGCAACCCUGCAUAGAUAUACUUAUGUGAGUAGUGGCAGCCGAAUCUACCCACCAAGUAUCCUUAGGUACCGAAAUUAAAUUAACUUCAGAACAAACAAGAGAAAGAGAUGUACUUUUUUUCGCAAGCCAAGCAUGGUACUUGGUACAAUCUUUCUUCAUGUGAUUAGUCCCCUUACAAAAGAAGCAACCUGAUUCUGUAGUUUCAACCUUAGGUUCCUUAUUUUGCUUCUUCUGGGGCCUUGCAACCGCAAUUUCCUUGCCUUUCCUCUUCUUAUUAUCUUUAGAAGAGGAUGCCAAAUGAGUACUUUCAGUCUUAUCUUGCUUUAUCCUUUCUUCCCCUUGCACACAAUGUGAAACGAGCUCAUUAAGAGUCCAUUUCUCCUUCAGGCAAUUGUAACUGACCUUAAACUGAUUAAAGUGUGCAGGAAGAGAUAUCAAAACUAAGUACACAAGCAGUUCCUCAGGUAAUUCCAGCUUGAGUGACUAUCUUAAACUGAUUAAAGUGUGCAGGAAGAGAUAUCCAAACUAAGUACACAAGCAGUUCCUUAGGUAAUUCCAGCUUGAGUGACUUAAGUUUCGAAGCAAGAUGAGAUAUUUCCAAAAUGUACUCCCUUAUGUUUCCUUUGCCUUUAUACCUCAUGGAAACAAGUUUACUCAAAAGAGUACUUGUUUCCGCCUUUUUGUUUCGUGCAAAACGCUUUUCAAGGUUUUCAAGGAAAACUUUGGCAUUAUUUU